rnacentral:rRNA from 1 species
UGGGGAAUCUUGUCCAAUGGGCGAAAGCCUGAGACAGCGACGCCGCGUGCGGGAAGAAGGCCCUCGGGUUGUAAACCGCUUUUCAGGAGGGACGAAGCCACUCGGGUUAAUAGCCCAGAGGGUGACGGUACCUCCAGAAGAAGCCCCGGCUAACUACGUGCCAGCAGCCGCGGUAAUACGUAGGGGGCAAGCGUUGUCCGGAUUUAUUGGGCGUAAAGAGCGUGUAGGCGGCUAGGUAGGUCCGUUGUGAAAACUCGAGGCUCAACCUCGAUACGCCGGUGGAAACCAUCUAGCUAGAGUCCGGAAGAGGAGAGUGGAAUUCCUGGUGUAGCGGUGAAAUGCGCAGAUAUCAGGAAGAACACCCGUGGCGAAGGCGGCUCUCUGGUACGUGACUGACGCUGAGACGCGAAAGCGUGGGGAGCGAACAGGAUUAGAUACC